GAUUGAACGCUGGCGGCAGGCCUAACACAUGCAAGUCGAACGGUAACAGGAAACAGCUUGCUGUUUCGCUGACGAGUGGCGGACGGGUGAGUAAUGUCUGGGAAACUGCCUGAUGGAGGGGGAUAACUACUGGAAACGGUAGCUAAUACCGCAUAACGUCGCAAGACCAAAGAGGGGGACCUUCGGGCCUCUUGCCAUCGGAUGUGCCCAGAUGGGAUUAGCUAGUAGGUGGGGUAACGGCUCACCUAGGCGACGAUCCCUAGCUGGUCUGAGAGGAUGACCAGCCACACUGGAACUGAGACACGGUCCAGACUCCUACGGGAGGCAGCAGUGGGGAAUAUUGCACAAUGGGCGCAAGCCUGAUGCAGCCAUGCCGCGUGUAUGAAGAAGGCCUUCGGGUUGUAAAGUACUUUCAGCGGGGAGGAAGGGAGUAAAGUUAAUACCUUUACUCAUUGACGUUACCCGCAGAAGAAGCACCGGCUAACUCCGUG
rnacentral:rRNA from 1 species